rnacentral:rRNA from 1 species
CCUACGGGAGACAGCAGUGAGGAAUAUUGGUCAAUGGGCUUACGCCUGAACCAGCCAAGUCGCGUGAGGGAAGACUGCCCUAUGGGUUGUAAACCUCUUUUGUCAGGGAGCAACUGGCGCUACGUGUAGCGCUAUCGAGAGUACCUGAAGAAAAAGCAUCGGCUAACUCCGUGCCAGCAGCCGCGGUAAUACGGAGGAUGCGAGCGUUAUCCGGAUUUAUUGGGUUUAAAGGGUGCGCAGGCGGCCUGUUAAGUCAGCGGUAAAAGCGCGGGGCUCAACCCCGGCCAGCCGUUGAAACUGGCGGGCUGGAGUUGGAGAGAAGUACGCGGAAUGCGCGGUGUAGCGGUGAAAUGCUUAGAUAUCGCGCAGAACCCCGAUUGCGAAGGCAGCGUGCCGGCUCCACACUGACGCUGAGGCACGAAAGCGUGGGUAUCGAACAGGAUUAGAUACCCUGGUAGUC